CCUACGGGUGGCAGCAGUGAGGAAUAUUGGUCAAUGGGCGCUAGCCUGAACCAGCCAAGCAGCGUGAAGGAUGACUGCCCUAUGGGUGGUAAACUUCUUUUAUAUGGGAGUAAAGUGCAGUAUGUAUACUGCUUUGCAUGUACAUUAUGAAUCAGGAUCGGCUAACUCCGUGCCAGCAGCCGCGGUAAUCCGGAGGAUCCGAGCGUUAUCCGGAUUUAUUGGGUGUAAAGGGAGCGUAGACGGGUUGAUAAGUCUGUUGUGAAAGUUUGCGGCUCAACCGUAAAACUGCAGUUGAUACUGGGAUCCUUGAGUACAGUAGAGGUAGGCGGAAUUCGUGGUGUAGCGGUGAAAUGCGUAGAUAUCACGAAGAACUCCGAUGGCGAAGGCAGCCUGCUGGACUGUAACUGACGCUGAGGCUCGAAAGUGUGGGGAUCAAACAGGAUUAGAUACCCGAGUAGUC
rnacentral:rRNA from 1 species